AACGCAUAUUGCACUUUCUGGUAUUCCGGAAAGUAUGCCUGUUUGAGGGUCAGUUAAAUAAAAAUCGGUGUUGUUGCUGCCUUUCGUGGUGACGCGUCGGAAUUGAGUUGUCUUACCUUCGGUUAAGUGACUUAAAAUUUUUGCACGAUUUUCGAACGUAUUUAAAUCACUUUACGUAUGUUUGAGAUGUCGAAUGUUUAUUAGGUUCGGUCAUCCUCAUGAUUCGCGCCUAUAAUUUUUUCAUUAAAUGACCUCAAAUCAGGUAAGAAUACCCGCUGAACUUAA
rnacentral:misc_RNA from 1 species